GAUGAACGCUAGCUACAGGCUUAACACAUGCAAGUCGAGGGGCAGCAUGACGAUAGCUUGCUAUUGUCGAUGGCGACCGGCGCACGGGUGAGUAACGCGUAUCCAACCUGCCCUUGUCCAUCGGAUAACCCGUCGAAAGGCGGACUAACACGAUAUGCAGUCCACAGCAGGCAUCUAACGUGGACGAAAUGUGAAGGAGAAGGAUGGAUCCGCGUCUGAUUAGGCAGUUGCGGGGUAACGGCCCACCAAACCGACGAUCAGUAGCCGACCUGAGAGGGUGACCGGCCACAUUGGAACUGAGACACGGUCCAGACUCCUACGGGAGGCAGCAGUGGGGAAUCUUCCGCAAUGGGCGAAAGCCUGACCCAGCAACGCCGCGUGAAGGAAGAAGGCUUUCGGGUUGUAAACUUCUUUUGUCAGGGACGAAGCAAGUGACGGUACCUGACGAAUAAGCCACGGCUAACUACGUG
rnacentral:rRNA from 1 species